UUGUGAUUAAACAACUCAUAAUUGCUCAAGAAGAUGGUCUAUCCAUCACAUGAAAACUGAACUUCUGGGCUAAUUUUACCAAUUUUCUUUUCAUUACGUUGAUCAGUUGCAUGUGAUGGCUAGUAAGCUUACCAUAAAGAAAUUAGAAUGCUCAGUUCUGGCUAACGCCUAACACUCAUGUAUGGACUUUGAGAUAGGUCUUCUCAUUCGAGAUAAGCGAUCACUGUUAGGAAUAAUGGUUAAGUACGUGUCCUGAGUGAGAGGUGGAAUUCUUGGGCCAUAGCGAGACGCACAAAUACGAAAGCAUUUACCAAAAAUGUUUUUAUUAAUCAAGAGAAAAAGCCGGAAAUUCAAAGAUGAUCAGAUAUCUCAAGUUUUUAAUUUUCGGAAACUUUCUUCA
rnacentral:ncRNA from 1 species